rnacentral:lncRNA from 1 species
GCCAUAUCUCCUUCAAUCACAAUAGGUUUGCCAGAUUGAAAGUGAAAACCCUAAAUCCCCAAAUUUUCACCAGUUUGUUCUAAAUCAUCAAAUUCAUCCAUCAAUUCACCAAUAUUUCGAUCAUGUCGUCGGAAAGAUGCAAAUCCGGUCGAUCGUCACGCAUCUCCGACGAGAAUCACCGGCGAGAUUCACAUCUCUGAGGCGAAUCACUGUCACACACUCACUCACACGCAGCUAUAAUGUACUCAACGAAGCUCCAUCUGCCGGAAAAAUCCACCGCUCUAAUUGUCUUCGCAUAACCGUUCUGGUACAGUCCAUCAAAACUCAAUAGCUUGAUGGAGAUUGUUAAUUGUUCCGGUACAGUCGAUCAAAACCUAAAAGCUUGAUGGAGAUUGUUAUGAGUUCAAGUGAGAAGGUAUAAGGCUGACAAGUAUGACCGAUUAUGGAAGGCAAUUAGUUGGCCUCGUUAUAGGGAUCGGUUGUCUACAGCUUGCACUUCGAAAAUGAGUCUUGGUUUGGUAAACAAGAACGCGAUGAAAAAUACUUUUUAACUAUUUUUUUCUAUCAUAACUCAAAACUUAACCUUUCUUGUGGUUUUUGCAGUGCCUUAUUCCACAGAAUACGGUGCAGUGUAUUAAAAUUUAAAACACCAAAUUUCUUGAUUAAUGCAGCCUAUGAUUCAUGGCACGUUAGACAAACCUCAAUAUGAGCAGCAAUAAUAUAAUAGAAUAAUAUUUGAUUUAAUUAUGAUUUAGAUAAUCAGCUUACAGGUAAAGACUAUAUUGGCCCAGGAGUUACUGAUCGACAACGCACAUGCCGCAAAUGCAACAAAGUGCUCAACGGCUCAACUCAAUGUCCUGAAGUACCUGGGAGUCAUGUUGACCAGAAAGGAUCCAUUGUUCUUCCAGAAAAGUUACGGUUUGACUUCUCCCAUGGGAAACCCGUAAAGCCCGAUGACCUUCGUAGAAUUGAAUCAAUCAUGAAUGAACAAAUUAAAGCUGAGCUGGAGGUUUCAGCGAAGAAGGCAAGCCUUGCUGAUGCGAAAAGAGUAAAUGGUUUGCGCACUGUUUUUGGUGAAGUGUACCCUGAUCCCGUUAGGAUUGUUGCUAUCGUUCGAAAAGUGGACGAUUUAUUGGCUGAUCCUGAAAAUGAAGAAUGGUCGUCCAUAUCUGCAGAACUCUAUUUCAAACACACGCGAGGCAAAAGCGGUUGCUCUUUUGUCUGAGGAGGGAAUUGCUAAGGGAUUAGGAGAAUUAUCACUAUAACAACAAACUAUGCUUUUGAAGUUAUUAAAAAGGCGUCUGAGCUUGAACUGGAAGUUGAUCUGGCAUCUAAGAUGGAAGGAAGCUUUCUUGAACAGUGUAGAAGAAAAUUGUAGAGAAGCUGUAUAAAGCCAAGCUGGUUGUGGAGAGGCAUAAAGCCAAGUCGGUUUUUGAUUUAAGACACAUUUUAAACUAGUGACCAGUUUACUUUAAGUAUGCAAUUUGAGGUAAGUCUGUAUCUAAUCCCUUGAAAGAUAAACAAGCGUAAAAGAAGACGAGAGAAAUUGGUGCGAUUGAAGGUAACUCUGUAUCUAAUAAACUCGAUUACAGGUAAUUGAUAUUUUGCUAUAUCUUGACUUUCAUGGGUCUCCUCUUUUGUAGCUGCACGAUUUGUAAAUAGUUGAUUCUUUGGCCUAAGUUGAUUAGAUCUAAAUAGUAAUACCAUGGCGAAACGCAGGCUACAUUUACUAGUUUAGCUAUAAUUUAGGCUUGAUUUGGGUUUUGGUAUGGUAUUUUCUUAUAUGGGCAUGUCUUCUCUGCUAUUGUCUUUAUAUUGAUUUAUGUUUUGUUUAUCGAUUUAGGUACAACCGUAAGAAGCUAACUUAUGAAGAGAGGAAGUAAAAGCUUAUCGAGAGGUUGAAUGCAUUAAAUGAUGAUAACGAUUUUGACGUAGAUUGAUGAUUUUUGAAGUUUGUUAAAUUUUUGUUAGUUUGUGGCUAAACAUAUAUAUAUAUAUAUUUUUUUGAAAAGAAAACUUCUAUAAAACCAACCGAACCCGAAAACCGGGACG